UUGCCUCAGUAACGGCGAGUGAAGCGGCAAUAGCUCAAAUUUGAAAUCUGGCAUCCGCCCGAAUUGUAAUUUGUAGAGGAUGCUUCGGCUUACGUCUCGGUCUAAGUUCCUUGGAACAGGACGUCACAGAGGGUGAGAAUCCCGUUUGUGGCCGUGACUUCCGCCAUGUGAAGCUCCUUCGACGAGUCGAGUUGUUUGGGAAUGCAGCUCUAAAUGGGAGGUAUGUUUCUUCUAAAGCUAAAUACCGGCCAGAGACCGAUAGCGCACAAGUAGAGUGAUCGAAAGAUGAAAAGCACUUUGGAAAGAGAGUUAAAAAGUACGUGAAAUUGUUGAAAGGGAAGCGCUUGCAACCAGACUUGCCCGUAGUUGCUCAACUGGUCCUCCGGCCGGUGCACUCUUCUACGGUCAGGCCAGCAUCAGUUCGGGUGGUUGGAGAAAGGCCUUGAGAAUGUGGCUCUCUUCGGGGAGUGUUAUAGCUCUUGGUGUCAUACAGCCUGCCUGGACUGAGGUCCGCGCUUCGGCUAGGAUGCUGGCGUAAUGGUUGUAAGCGGCCCGUCUUGAAACACGGACCAAGGAGUCUAACAUCUAUGCGAGUGUUUGGGUGUCAAACCCGUGCGCGUAAUGAAAGUGAACGGAGGUGGGAACUUUUUGUGCACCAUCGACCGAUCCUGAUGUCUUCGGAUGGAUUUGAGUAAGAGCAUAGCUGUUGGGACCCGAAAGAUGGUGAACUAUGCCUGAAUAGGGUGAAGCCAGAGGAAACUCUGGUGGAGGCUCGCAGCGGUUCUGACGUGCAAAUCGAUCGUCAAAUUUGGGUAUAGGGGCGAAAGACUAAUCGAACCAUUUUUGACUACUAGGUGGUUAAGAGGCAGCUCAAAGUGCUGUCUAGUCCCUCCAUUCCGGGGCAACACCGUCAAAUUGCGGGGACUUUCUUAGAGCCUGAACUACCGCGGCUUCUCGAAAGAGUACAGUGCAGCACCAGGU
rnacentral:rRNA from 1 species